CACAGCUAUAAAGCUUACUAAUUAAAGACUACAAACACAAAGACAGCAAACCUUGUGAUGACCGCACAAUAAUGAGGAUUCAGAUACAACAUGGUCGCCACCUGAUGCCCACCUCCACAAAAAGCCAUUCUCAAAAGGAGAGAGACAUUCAUAUCCAGAAGAGGGGGUGAGCUGUAGGGUAGAUCAGACCUCAGUUAUCAAGAGGUUUUAUUAUAGAACCACUAGUAACUCAUAGACUCUUCCUGUUAUGAAGAUGUUCGUCUGAAGCUUUCAAAGCCCACUGCUGAUUUAAGGUCAUUCACAUUCAGCCAUGAAGCUGCUCUGAAGACACAGGAACUGCAUAGCUCCCUACUGGGAGUUAUUUGCAACUUACCUGGCUAAGCUGAACUCCAGAAUUUGGACUAGAGGCUUCAGGAUGCUGGUGCAGUUCCAGUCUGGUCCACAUGUCUCCUCCUCCUUAGAAGGUCAUUGACUACUUGGUGUAUCUUCUUUUCAUGACAGUUCAUAUGAGUGCAAGAUGGCUCAACAGACUUGCACACAAGUUUAAAGAUUUUUGCAUACACCCUCUACUGCACUGCAAGCUCAUGCAGAGGAGCAGAUCAUAAAACGUGAUUGAUGCAUGAUGAUGAUAAUGACCAACCUACUAUCAUGGACAUGACCGUAAAUAUCAUAGAUGCUUACGUAGAAUCUGGAAAACUUUAAUUUUCACCAAAUACUCAUGUGCUUUGGGCUUACAGCACAUGAAUUUUGGCAGAAGAGAAGUGAACCAGAAUAGAAGGAGGAGGGAAUAUUUAAUAAGAGAUUACAAAAAUGCUUUCUCUGGGUAAGAGAUGUGGGUGAUCGUUCAAUGCAGAGCAGCUGAGGAAGACUUCUGUGUCCAGUGGUGCCACAGGCUGGGUCUUGGACCGACUGUCCCCUUGAAAACAACCGAACGUGUUGGAUAGAACAUGAGAUUAGAGAAG
rnacentral:lncRNA from 1 species